UUGUCACGUAUACAAAGGAAACUCAGACUCCAGUUAUGGCUCAACCCAAAGAAGAUGAAGAGGAAGAUGAUGAUGUAGUGGCUCCUAAACCACCUAUUGAACCUGAAGAAGAGAAAACUUUAAAGAAAGAUGAGGAAAAUGAUAGUAAAGCUCCCCCUCAUGAGCUGACUGAAGAAGAAAAGCAACAAAUCUUGCACUCUGAGGAAUUUUUAAGUUUCUUUGACCAUUCUACAAGAAUUGUAGAAAGAGCUCUUUCUGAGCAGAUUAACAUCUUCUUUGACUAUAGUGGGAGAGAUUUGGAAGACAAAGAAGGGUAAUGUUUAGUUGCUAAGAUUUUUAGCUUCAAUAAUGUUAAAUUAAGAAUAAGAGUGAUAAAAGUUAUAACACCAUCUUUUUGGGGGGUUUGGUCUUUUUUUGUAGAGAGAUUCAAGCAGGUGCUAAACUGUCAUUAAAUCGACAAUUUUUUGACGAACGUUGGUCAAAGCAUCGGGUGGUUAGUUGUUUGGAUUGGUCAUCUCAGUAUCCGGAGUUACUCGUGGCUUCCUAUAACAACAAUGAAGAUGCCCCUCAUGAGCCUGAUGG
rnacentral:sRNA from 1 species